UAUAGUCCCCGUUAGAUUUACCCUUUGACUAUUUUCACCAGUUAGAUUAUACUAUUUAACCAAUAACUUACUCAACCCUAAGGGGCCCACAUCAUUCUAAACGCACAUUUUUUCAUCUAAGGGCCGAAAAUCUAAUAGCACCAAUAGCUUGGUACUAUUAAUAGUAUUCCAGCUUAGUUAUAUAUGAGUUGGGCUAGAACACUAUCGAUAGCAAAAGACUUUUUUUACUAUUAAGUUUUUAACCUUUGAAUCGAUUGCUUUCAUCAUUUCUAACCAUUGAAUUAAAUAUUAUAAUCCAGUAGGGACCACUCAACCCUAGUAGGGGGACCACUUAACCCUAAUGGGCUAAUAUCAUCCUAUAACCUUACAAUUUUUCAUCCAAGGGUUAAAAAGUUGAUAGCAAAAAGGACCUUUUGCUAUCAAUAGUAUUCUAGUCUAUAUAUAUAUAUAUAUAUAUAUAUAUAUAUAUAUAUAUAUAUAGCUGGUAUACUGUCGGUAGCACGGAGGCCUCCGUGCUAUCAAAUUGUUUGCAAUGAUACGCUUCCAAAUCGACGAUCGGCUCCGUUUGGCUUGAUUUACACUAUUGAAAGUAUUUGGAAACUAAAUUUUAUAACUUUUCGACAUUAUUUGGCUAGUAAUCAAAAUGUCUCAAAUUUUAUAAUUUUGGCGGUCGAUAUAAGACGUUUUCUUAUUUAACGGCGUAAAGAUAUCCAAAUCAAUUAAAUUUUGGUUAGAAAUGUUUCUAAACUAUUUAGAAAAAGAUCUAUACUCUUGAUCUAGAUUAUAAGGCUUUUAUCAUCACUUUUUAAAAAAUACUUAUUUUUCAUUUUUUUGCCUACUUGAUGGAUACGAGAACAAUGUCGAAAAGACUCGAA
rnacentral:lncRNA from 1 species